AUGGCCAUCUGGAAGAAUUUCGCUCCAAACAAAUGUAGAAUUUUCCUCUGGCUGGCAAACAAGAAUCGUCUCUUCACCAACGAACGGCGUUUUCGUCGAGGCAUCGCUACUUCUCCGGCUUGCCCUCUCUGUCCGGGGACAGAGUCCGUAAACCACCUGCUUCUGCACUGCCCGGAGCUCACUACUCUGUGGAGAGAACUCUCCUCUCUCACUCCAGAUAUACCCGCAGAUCUUUCGGAUCUUUGGGCCAACGACAUGCAGAAUAAAGUUCGCUCUACAAUAAUCAUCGCCAUCCUUUGGAACAUUUGGAAAAGAAGGAAUGCAAAAGUCUUCAGGGACGACAUUCAACCGGUUCACCUCAUCGCUCGUUCUGCCGCUGAUGAUAUUCUGCUUUGGUCUAGCAGAUGUACUAAUGAGCAAGCGCAAGGUUUGCUGCGCGAAUGGGGUACCAUGUUGUUUCACCUAUCUAUGAGAUUGUAA
rnacentral:rRNA from 1 species